rnacentral:lncRNA from 1 species
CACAUAAAAGAUGGGUUCGUUAAGAGAGUGUUCACCGUAUUCUUCAGUUGAAUAAGCAUUUUUUUUAACACAGAUGUUUGCAUAUUUAGAGGAAGAUAUUUUAGGACGAACCUAUCAACUUCAGAUUCAUGCGAGCUUUGGACUUGCAAUGUUAAGAAGGCUGAAGUUAAAGUGUACGGAUGCGAGAAAUACGACCGAGGCAUUGAGCGAGGCUGUACACUGGAAGUCAAAAAUCCACACAAGCCUUACCCAGACUGCUGCAAAAGGAAAGUUUGCCGGCACUAUUUUUCCACCUAUUAUCCUGGCUCGUACAUUGCCCCGUCUCCGCUGUAGAUAUUUCCUUUACUAUCCUUCAAUCAUAGUUCUGUAGCGCGAACAAUGAUUACAAUAAAAACAAAGCUGCCCAUUUAACGGU